CAGUAGCCGCGGUAAUACGUAGGGUGCAAGCGUUAAUCGGAAUGACUGGGCGUAAAGGGCACGUAGGCGGUGAAAAGGGUGGAAAGUGAAAGUCGCCAAAACACUGGCGGGGUGCUUUCUUGACCAUUUCACUUGAGUGAGAUAGGGGAGAGUGGAAUUUCGUGUGGAGGGAUCAAAUCCUAAGAUAUACGAAGGAACGCCAACCGCGAAGGCAGCUCUCUGGGUCCCCACUGACGCUGAGGUACGAAAGCAUGGGGAGCAAACAGGAUUAGAUACCCCAGUAGUCCCUGUCUCUUAUACA
rnacentral:rRNA from 1 species